AGCUCACGUAGUGAAUCAUCGAAUCUUUGAACGCACAUUGCACUGACGGUAAUUCGUCAGUAUACCUGUUUGAGCAUCAUCCACACCUCAACUGCGUGUUGGCCGUCAUUGGCUGACACUGCAGCUGGAUCUGGGCUGCUGCCAUGCGUUUCUGCAUGGCGCUGCCUGAAGUGUAGGAGUGCGGGCAUGUGAAGCCGCAGAGUUAAUUCAAGGUUGGCCGUGAGGCUUUCCGUGACUAGUCUGCCUGGUAUUUGCGUGUUUCAAGCUCACAGUAACAUUGGACGGACGCGUCACUUCUCUGGAGUUGGCGCGGGACCGCUCAAUCAUUGAUCUCAAAUCAGGUAAGAUUACCCGCUGAACUUAAGCAUAUCAAUAAGCGGAGG
rnacentral:rRNA from 1 species